GGAGGAGAAAAAUGUGCAAGACGAUGGGCCUAAGCUGGACAGGAUUGCCAUGGAAACCUGCCCCUCCCAUCCACCUCAAAUCUUGCUGCCACUGUGCUAGACAUGAACGACUCUCCUCAAAACAACUGUAACUUUUGAAUGAACUCAAGAAACAUGAACCGGCUUCAGAUUCACUUUUAUGUGCAGACCGAGCAGCAAGUCUCACUGGAUUGCGUAUUCUUUGAUCUGGUCUGAUGUCUAAAGGAGCCUGCGAAGAUCUGAUAGACAACUGGUUUGGGUGUUGCUACAUUUUCCUUCUAAGUCCCAUUGGAGAGAUCACUGGUUUUAAAUGUAGGCUGUUAUUAAGUGCUGUCCCAGUUCAUUAUUUUAA